rnacentral:rRNA from 1 species
GACGAACCGUACGAACGUUAUUCGGAAUCACUGGGCUUAAAGGGUGCGUAGGCUGCGCGGAAAGUUGGGUGUGAAAUCCCUCGGCUCAACCGAGGAACUGCGCCCAAAACUGCCGUGCUCGAGGGAGACAGAGGUGAGCGGAACUUAGGGUGGAGCGGUGAAAUGCGUUGAUAUCCUAAGGAACACCGGUGGCGAAAGCGGCUCACUGGGUCUCUUCUGACGCUGAGGCGCGAAAGCUAGGGUAGCGAACGGG